rnacentral:lncRNA from 1 species
AAAAUAUCCGUGGACUGGAUUGGAUCUGGAUAGUUGAUAUACUGUAUCUAUACCCUAAAACGAAAUAGGUAAAAAAAUAUAGAGGCAAUUGCUUAUAUAUUCCUGAAAAGUUUCAGAUUUUUUGAUUUACCCCUCAUAGAAGGCUAAUAUUGAAAAUACCUUUUUUUACGUUCCAACUUAUUUUUAAUAUACCCCUAAAGUUAAAUUCUGUUAGCUAUAGCUGUUAUUUCUAUGAAAUUACUAUUUUGCCCUUUUCAAAUGUAUCAUUCUACCAUCACCAACUUUUUCUUAUUUGCCCUUAAGUUAGAGGCACAAAAAGUAUUUUAAUUUUUUGUCUUUUCAAAUAUACUCUUCUAACAUCACCAAUAUUUCUUAUUUGCCCUUAAGUUAAGGGCAAAAGAGAUAUUUUGAUUUUUAUUAACUCUGGUAGAUAUUUAACUCACGUUUAAUCGAAGUUAAUUUAACGGGUGGUAACAGUAUGAGUAUUUUGGAAUAACAGAGAAACAUAUGAAGGGUAUAUUGGAAAGAAAAAAAAAGUAGGGAUAAAUGUGAUAUUUUCAAAGGUUUGAGGGGUAUAUAAACAAUUAUCCCAAAAAUUAUAUAGAUACCCUAUUCAUUUAACUUUUGAUCGGUCCAGAUCUGAGUAUUUAAGUUAAUAAUAUACCUAUUGGUCUAUUUGAGCGGGUCUGAAUAGUGACUACCUAUAUACUACUGAUUUAAGAUCGGGUAUGGAUCGGAUAUUCGUCGGGUCUAGAUAGGAUACGAAUACCCUUAUGCAUAUAUUUUUUAUAAACUUUAUUAAACAAUCUAUGGACAAAUCAUAAAUUUUUUACUAUAAAAACUCGCGUUCUAAUUAGUUGCAUCCCGUCCAAAAAAAAU